rnacentral:rRNA from 1 species
UACGGAGGGGGCUAGCGUUGUUCGGAAUUACUGGGCGUAAAGAGCUCGUAGGCGGCCUGUUGCGUCCGCUGUGAAAGCCCGGGGCUUAACCCCGGGUCGGCAGUGGAUACGGGCAGGCUAGAGGUAGGUAGGGGAGAAUGGAAUUCCCGGUGUAGCGGUGAAAUGCGCAGAUAUCGGGAGGAACACCGGUGGCGAAGGCGGUUCUCUGGGCCUUACCUGACGCUGAGGAGCGAAAGCGUGGGGAGCGAACAGG